CAGUCGCCGCGGGAACACGAAGGGUGCAAGCGUUAAUCGGAAUUACUGGGCGUAAAGCGUGCGUAGGCGGCAUGUACAGUCAGAAGUGAAAUUCCUGGGCUCAACCUGGGGACUGCUUUUGAUACGUGCAGGCUAGAGUGAGGAAGAGGGUUGUGGAAUUUCCAGUGUAGAGGUGAAAUUCGUAGAUAUUGGAAAGAACACCGGCGGCGAAGGCGGCAACCUGGUCCUUUACUGACGCUGAGGCGCGAAAGCGUGGGGAGCAAACAGGAUUAGAUACCCCAGUAGUCCCUGUCUCUUAUAC
rnacentral:rRNA from 1 species